CACGUAGGAUCCGAGCGUUAUCCGAAUUUACUGGGCGUAAAGAGCGUGCAGGUGGUUUGAUAAGUUGGAUGUAAAAGCUCCUGGCUCAACUGGGAGACGCCGUUCAAAACUAUCAGACUUGAGGACGGUAGAGGGAGGUGGAAUUCCCGGUGUAGUAGUGAAAUGCGUAGAUAUCGGGAGGAACACCAGAGGCGAAGGCGGCCUCCUGGACCGUUUCUGACACUAAGACGCGAAAGCUAGGGGAGCGAAUGGG
rnacentral:rRNA from 1 species